rnacentral:rRNA from 1 species
AUGCUGGCGGCGUGCCUAACACAUGCAAGUCGAGCGGCAGCGAGUUUUACACUGAAUUCUGGAAGCUUCUGGGUAAUAUAGAAGAUUUAUUCAAGAAUUUUGUGUAAAAUGUCGGCGAGCGGCGGACGGCUGAGUAACGCGUAGGAAUUUGCCCCAAAGUGAGGAAUAACUGCCCGAAAGGGUAGCUAAUGCGGCAUAUGGUCUUCGGAUUAAAGCCUUCGGGCGCUUUGGGAGAAGCCUGCGUUGGAUUAGGUAGUUGGUAGGGUAAUGGCCUACCAAGCCGACGAUCCAUAGCUGGUCUGAGAGGAUGAUCAGCCAGACUGGAACUGAGACACGGUCCAGACUCCUACGGGAGGCAGCAGUGAGGAAUCUUCCACAAUGGGCGAAAGCCUGAUGGAGCAACGCCGCGUGAAGGAUGAAGGCCUUCGGGUUGUAAACUUCUUUUAUGAGUGAAGAAUAUGACGGUAACUCAUGAAUAAGCACCGGCUAACUACGUGCCAGCAGCCGCGGUCAUACGUAGGGUGCAAGCAUUAUCCGGAGUGACUGGGCGUAAAGAGUUGCGUAGGCGGUUUAAUAAGUGAAUAGUGAAACCUGGUGGCUCAACCAUACAGACUAUUAUUCAAACUGUUAAACUCGAGAAUGGUAGAGGUAACUGGAAUUUCUAGUGUAGGAGUGAAAUCCGUAGAUAUUAGAAGGAACACCGAUGGCGUAGGCAGGUUACUGGGCCAUUUCUGACGCUAAGGCACGAAAGCGUGGGGAGCGAACCGGAUUAGAUACCCGGGUAGUCCACGCCGUAAACGAUGGAUACUAGCUGUUGGAGGUAUCGACCCCUUCAGUAGCGAAGCUAACGCGUUAAGUAUCCCGCCUGUGGAGUACGGCCGCAAGGCUAAAACAUAAAGGAAUUGACGGGGACCCGCACAAGCGGUGGAU